CAGCCGCCGCGGUAAUACGAAGGGUGCAAGCGUUAAUCGGAAUUACUGGGCGUAAAGCGUGCGUAGGCGGUUUGUUAAGUCUGCUGUGAAAUCCCCGGGCUCAACCUGGGAAUGGCAGUGGAUACUGGCAAGCUAGAGUGUGUCAGAGGAUGGUGGAAUUCCCGGUGUAGCGGUGAAAUGCGUAGAGAUCGGGAGGAACAUCAGUGGCGAAGGCGGCCAUCUGGGACAACACUGACGCUGAGGCACGAAAGCGUGGGGAGCAAACAGGAUUAGAUACCCGCGUAGUCCCUGUCUCUUAUAA
rnacentral:rRNA from 1 species